rnacentral:lncRNA from 1 species
UUACACGAGGAUCUGUAUACCCGGGCCUUGCCCGAACCCGGCAGGUCCAGCAGUGCCAGGAUACGGUGGUAGUCCGCCAGUGCCAGGAUACGGUGGUGGUCAACCAGCGCCAGGCUACGGUGGGAAGCCGUGAAGAAUGCCGUCGGUCCUGCGCCAACACCAUGCAUGAGCACCUACGCAAAAUAACGACUUCCGGGUGCAUUAGCUAGUUUAUUAUAUAUAGUCGUAUGUAAGUGAAUAAAAUGAUCGGUAGUCAGCGUGGUGUGCUUGUCUGGACACAUAGCUACCACAGAUAGCAACAGGUCGGUAUACUGUAAUCAAA